AAAAAUGAGAUUAAUAAUCAAUUAAAAGUUGUUUACACACAUACAACAAAAUUAGAACAGGCAUUAAAGAUAUCUAAAGAAAAGCACAAAGAAACAAAACUUGAACUUCUAACAAAACUGAAUGAAUUUGAUGCAAAUCUGACAAAAACUAAACAUGAAGCUCACAAUCGUUUUAAUGCCUUAGAUACAGACUAUAAAAUGUUAAAGGUAA
rnacentral:lncRNA from 1 species